rnacentral:rRNA from 1 species
GACGAACGCUGGCGGCGUGCUUAACACAUGCAAGUCGAACGGAAAGGCCCUGCUUUUGUGGGGUGCUCGAGUGGCGAACGGGUGAGUAACACGUGAGUAACCUGCCCUUGACUUUGGGAUAACUUCAGGAAACUGGGGCUAAUACCGGAUAGGAGCUCCUGCUGCAUGGUGGGGGUUGGAAAGUUUCGGCGGUUGGGGAUGGACUCGCGGCUUAUCAGCUUGUUGGUGGGGUAGUGGCUUACCAAGGCUUUGACGGGUAGCCGGCCUGAGAGGGUGAACGGCCACAUUGGGACUGAGAUACGGCCCAGACUCCUACGGGAGGCAGCAGUGGGGAAUAUUGCACAAUGGGCGGAAGCCUGAUGCAGAAACGCCGCGUGCGGGAUGACGGCCUUCGGGUUGUAAACCGCUUUCGCCUGUGCCGAAGCGUGAGUGACGGUAAUGGGAAAAGAAGCACCGGCUAACUACGUG